AUUGAACGCUAGCGGCAUGCUUUACACAUGCAAGUCGAACGAGUGGCGGACGGGUGAGUAAUAUAUCGGAACGUGCCCAGUCGCGGGGGAUAACUACUCGAAAGAUUGGCUAAUACCGCUUACUAUUCGAUCGGCCGAUGUCGGAUUAGCUAGUGGGUGGGGUAAAGGCUCACCAAGGCAACGAUCCGUAGCUGGUGUGAGAGGAUGACCAGCCACACUGGGACUGAGACACGGCCCAGACUCCUACGGGAGGCAGCAGUGGGGAAUUUUGGACAAUGGAGGAAACCCUGAUCCAGCCAUGCCGCGUGUAUGAGAAGGCCUUCGGGUUGUAAAGUACUUUUGGGAGAGAAGCGGUAUCUGCAGAAUAAGCACCGGCUAACUACGUGCCAGCAGCCGCGGUAAUAC
rnacentral:rRNA from 1 species